rnacentral:rRNA from 1 species
UACGUAGGGUGCGAGCGUUAAUCGGAAUUACUGGGCGUAAAGUGUGCGCAGGCGGCCGCGCAAGUCGAGUGUGAAAGCCCCGAGCUUAACUUGGGAAUUGCGCUCGAAACUACGUGGCUGGAGUGUGGCAGAGGAAGGUGGAAUUCCACGUGUAGCGGUGAAAUGCGUAGAGAUCCGGAAGAACACCGGUGGCGAAGGCGGUCUGCUGGGCAGUUGCUGACACUGAGGCGCGACAGCGUGGGGAGCAAACAGG